rnacentral:rRNA from 1 species
UACGGGGGGGGCAAGCGUUGUUCGGAAUUACUGGGCGUAAAGGGCUCGUAGGCGGCCAACUAAGUCGGAUGUGAAAAUCCCCCAGGCUCAACCUGGGAACUGCAUCCGAUACUGGAUGGCUUGAAUUCGGGAGAGGGAUGCAGAAUUCCAGGUGUAGCGGUGAAAUGCGUAGAUAUCUGGAGGAAUACCGGUGGCGAAGGCGGCAUCCUGGACCGACAUUGACGCUGAUGAGCGAAAGCUAAGGGGAGCAAACGGGGAUUAAGAUACCGU